AGCGAACGCUGGCGGCAGGCCUAACACAUGCAAGUCGAACGAACCUUUCGGGGUUAGUGGCGGACGGGUGAGUAACACGUGGGAACGUGCCUUUAGGUUCGGAAUAACUCAGGGAAACUUGUGCUAAUACCGAAUGUGCCCUUCGGGGGAAAGAUUAAUCGCCUUUAGAGCGGCCCGCGUCUGAUUAGCUAGUUGGUUGAGGUAAUGGCUCACCAAGGCGACGAUCAGUAGCUGGUCUGAGAGGAUGAUCAGCCACAUUGGGACUGAGACACGGCCCAAACUCCUACGGGAGGCAGCAGUGGGGAAUCUUGCGCAAUGGGCGAAAGCCUGACGCAGCCAUGCCGCGUGAAUGAUGAAGGUCUUAGGAUUGUAAAUUCUUUCACCGGGGACGAUAAUGACGGUACCCGGAGAAGAAGCCCCGGCUAACUUCGUG
rnacentral:rRNA from 1 species